rnacentral:rRNA from 1 species
AUUGAACGCUGGCGGCAUGCCUUACACAUGCAAGUCGAACGGCAGCGGGGGAGAAGCUUGCUUUUCCUGCCGGCGAGUGGCGAACGGGUGAGUAAUACAUCGGAACGUGCCCUGUAGUGGGGGAUAACUAGUCGAAAGAUUAGCUAAUACCGCAUACGACCUGAGGGUGAAAGUGGGGGACCGCAAGGCCUCAUGCUAUAGGAGCGGCCGAUGUCUGAUUAGCUAGUUGGUGGGGUAAAGGCCUACCAAGGCGACGAUCAGUAGCUGGUCUGAGAGGACGAUCAGCCACACUGGGACUGAGACACGGCCCAGACUCCUACGGGAGGCAGCAGUGGGGAAUUUUGGACAAUGGGCGAAAGCCUGAUCCAGCAAUGCCGCGUGUGUGAAGAAGGCCUUCGGGUUGUAAAGCACUUUUGUCCGGAAAGAAAUGGCUCUGGUUAAUACCUGGGGUCGAUGACGGUACCGGAAGAAUAAGGACCGGCUAACUACGUGCCAGCCGCCGCAGUAACAC